UCGAAACACACUGGUGAGGGCUGUGGCUGGCCGUUUCAUAGGCAUGUGCACGCCCGAGCCCGUUUCAUCCACACACACCUGUGAACCUGAAGUGGAUCUCCACGAAGUGGGUGAUCCAUGCACUUCAUCAGCCAUGGUAUGUCUUUGAAUGUAAUAUAGAAAAGGCCUCCUUUGAGGCAUAAUCUACA
rnacentral:misc_RNA from 1 species